GAUGAACGCUGGCGGCGUGCCUAAUACAUGCCAGUCGAGCGAACAGAUGAGGAGCUUGCUCCUCUGACGUUAGCGGCGGACGGGUGAGUAACACGUGGAUAACCUAUCUAUAAGACUGGGAUAACGUCGGGAAACCGGAGCUAAUACCGGAUAAUAUAUUGAACCGCAUGGUUCAAUAGUGAAAGACGGAUUUGCUGUCCCUUAUAGAUGGAUCCGCGCCGCAUUAGCUAGUUGGUAAGGUAACGGCUUACCAAGGCAACGAUGCGUAGCCGACCUGAGAGGGUGAUCGGCCACACUGGAACUGAGACACGGUCCAGACUCCUACGGGAGGCAGCAGUAGGGAAUCUUCCGCAAUGGGCGAAAGCCUGACGCAGCAACGCCGCGUGAGUGAUGAAGGUCUUCGGAUCGUAAAACUCUGUUAUUAGGGAAGAACAAAUGUGUAAGUAACUAUGCACGUCUUGACGGUACCUAAUCAGAAAGCCACGGCUAACUACGUG
rnacentral:rRNA from 1 species